CUGGAACUACACCGCCAGCUUUCCUGGGUCUCCAGCUUAUAGACAGCAGGUCGUGGGACGUCUCAACUUCUCAGUCUUCAUAACUGUUGCCUCUAGGGCUUUAGAUUGAGAUGUUAUCAUGGACUGAACUGUGUCCCUGCAAAAUUCAUACGUUGAAGCCCCAGCUCCCAGUGUGGCUGUAGUUGGAGAUAAGACUUUUUUAAGGAGGUAAUCAAGCUUAAAUGAAGUCAUAAAGGUGGAGCUCUAAUCCAACAGGGUCGAUGCCCUCAUAAGAAGAGGAAGAGACAUCAAGAGUGCACAUGCACAGAGAAAAGGCCAUGUGAAGUCACAAGAAGAUGGCUGUCUGCAGGCAAAGGGGAGAGGCCUCACCAGAGACUAAUCCUGCCAGCACCAUAAUCUUCAACUUCCAGUCUCCAGAACUUUAAGAAAAUAAAUUUAUGUUGUUUGAGCCCAUCAAUCUUGUACUUUGUUGUAGUAGCCUGAGCAGAGGAAUUCAUCUGGAUUGACUUCUUGUUGGUCUGGUGUUUAUUGUAUUCUGCCUGAAAUGGGUUGCAGACUUACCAAAUGUGACAGAUCUUGUACCAUGUACAUGUACACAGCUAAGUGUUCUUGAGAGGGCACUUUCUAAAAGACUUUAUACUCAGCUUAUUAGAGAGGAU
rnacentral:lncRNA from 10 species